GCUAAGAAUCUUCCGCAAUGGGGGAAACCCUGACGGAGCGACGCCGCGUGGACGAUGAAGGCCGUAAGGUUGUAAAGUCCUUUUGCAGGAGAAGAAUAAGGGAGGGAGUGGAAAGCCCUUCCGAUGACGUUAUCCUGCGAAUAAGCCCCGGCCAAUUACGUGCCAGCAGCCGCGGUAAUACGUAUGGGGCGAGCGUUGUUCGGAGUUAUUGGGCGUAAAGGGCGUGUAGGCGGCCCGACAAGUCUGGUGUGAAAUCGCAGGGCUCAACCCUGCGGGUGCGCUGGAAACUGUGGGGCUGGAGUCCCGGGGGGGAAGCUGGAAUUCCUGGUGUAGGAGUGAAAUCUGUAGAGAUCAGGAAGAACACCGGUGGCGAAGGCGAGCUUCUAUUCGAGGACUGACGCUGAGGCGCGAAAGCGUGGGGAGCAAACAGGAUUAGAAACCCUGGUAGUCC
rnacentral:rRNA from 1 species